rnacentral:rRNA from 1 species
UGCGUAGGUGGUUUCUUAAGUCAGAGGUGAAAGGCUACGGCUCAACCGUAGUAAGCCUUUGAAACUGGGAAACUUGAGUGCAGGAGAGGAGAGUGGAAUUCCUAGUGUAGCGGUGAAAUGCGUAGAUAUUAGGAGGAACACCAGUGGCGAAGGCGGCUUACUGGACGGUAACUGACGUUGAGGCUCGAAAGCGUGGGAAGCAAACA